rnacentral:rRNA from 1 species
UGCCCAACCGGGGGAGCUACACAUGCAGCCGAGCGGUAGAGAUUCUUCGGAAUCUUGAGAGCGGCGUACGGGUGCGGAACACGUGUGCAACCUACCUUUAUCAGGGGGAUAGCCUUUCGAAAGGAAGAUUAAUACCCCAUAAUAUAUUGAAUGGCAUCAUUUAAUAUUGAAAACUCCGGUGGAUAGAGAUGGGCACGCGCAAGAUUAGAUAGUUGGUAGGGUAACGGCCUACCAAGUCAGUGAUCUUUAGGGGGCCUGAGAGGGUGAUCCCCCACACUGGUACUGAGACACGGACCAGACUCCUACGGGAGGCAGCAGUGAGGAAUAUUGGACAAUGGGUGAGAGCCUGAUCCAGCCAUCCCGCGUGAAGGACGACGGCCCUAUGGGUUGUAAACUUCUUUUGUAUAGGGAUAAACCUACUCUCGUGAGAGUAGCUGAAGGUACUAUACGAAUAAGCACCGGCUAACUCCGUGCCAGCAGCCGCGGUAAUACGGAGGGUGCAAGCGUUAUCCGGAUUUAUUGGGUUUAAAGGGUCCGUAGGCGGAUCUGUAAGUCAGUGGUGAAAUCUCAUAGCUUAACUAUGAAACUGCCAUUGAUACUGCAGGUCUUGAGUAAAGUAGAAGUGGCUGGAAUAAGUAGUGUAGCGGUGAAAUGCAUAGAUAUUACUUAGAACACCAAUUGCGAAGGCAGGUCACUAUGUUUUAACUGACGCUGAUGGACGAAAGCGUGGGGAGCGAACAGGAUUAGAUACCCUGGUAGUCCACGCCGUAAACGAUGCUAACUCGUUUUUGGGUCUUCGGAUUCAGAGACUAAGCGAAAGUGAUAAGUUAGCCACCUGGGGAGUACGUUCGCAAGAAUGAAACUCAAAGGAAUUGACGGGGGCCCGCACAAGCGGUGGAUUAUGUGGUUUAAUUCGAUGAUACGCGAGGAACCUUACCAAGGCUUAAAUGGGAAUUGACAGGUUUAGAAAUAGACUUUUCUUCGGACAAUUUUCAAGGUGCUGCAUGGUUGUCGUCAGCUCGUGCCGUGAGGUGUUAGGUUAAGUCCUGCAACGAGCGCAA